rnacentral:rRNA from 1 species
GACGAACGCUGGCGGCGUGCUUAACACAUGCAAGUCGAACGGUGAAGCGCCUUCCUUUUUGGUGGGUGUGGAUGGGUGGCGAACGGGGGAGUAACACGUGAGUAACCUGCCCCCUUUUUCUGGAUAACCGCAUGAAAGUGUGGCAAAAAGGGGUUUUCUUGGUCCGUUGGAUGAUUGGGUUUGGGAAGGUUUUGGUUUGGGUGGGGGAUGGGCUGGCGCCUUUUCAGGUUGUUGGGGGGGGGUUGGCUUACAAGGGCGUUGCGGGGUGGCCGGCAUGAGAGGAUCGACGGUCACACAGGGACGGAGACACGGCCAAGACUCCUACGGGAGGCAGCAGUGGAGAAUAUUGAACAAUGGGCGCAAGCCUGAUGCAGCGACGCCGCGGGAGGGAUGGAGGCCUUCGGGUUGUGAACCUCUUUCGCCAGUGAAGCAGGCCGGCCUCGUUUGUGGGUGGGUUGACAGUAGCUGGAUAAGAAGCGCCGGCUAACUACGUG